UUACAGGAUGGGUUUCGGCAGGUUCCCUGGGGACAUAGACAGACGUUAAGGGACCCAAGUCAUUCCCCAGUAAAACCUCGGCUUGCAAGUUUUUCAUGAUUUUCACGUUUACUGUGCCGGAUCUGGCUCCCCAAUUGAGGUGAACGUGGGCAGUAGUAGAAGAAGAAUAGCUCCCACAGCCACCCGGAUAGCCACGGUUUGUCCGGUGUGCUCUUUG